GGUGGGGUAACGGCCCACCAAGCCUAAGAUCCGUACGGGCCGUGGGAGCAGGAGCCCGGAGAUGGACCCUGAGACAAGGGUCCAGGCCCUACGGGGCGCAGCAGGCGCGAAACCUCCGCAAUGCGGGAAACCGCGACGGGGUUAGCCGGAGUGCCCGUGCAUUGCACGGGCUGUCGGGGUGCCUAAACAGCACCCCAUAGCAAGGGCCGGGCAAGGCCGGUGGCAGCCGCCGCGGUAAGACCGGCGGCCCGAGUGGCGGCCACUCUUAUUGGGCCUAAAGCGUCCGUAGCCGGCCCAGUAAGUCCCCCGGGAAAUCUGGUCGCUUAACGAUCAGACUUCCGGGGGAUACUGCUGGGCUAGGGACCGGGAGAGGCCGAGGGUAUUCCCGGGGUAGGGGUGAAAUCCUGUAAUCCCGGGAGGACCACCUGUGGCGAAGGCGCUCGGCUGGAACGGGUCCGACGGUGAGGGACGAAGGCCUGGGGAGCGAACCGGAUUAGAUACCCGGGUAGUCCAGGCUGUAAACGAUGCGGGCUAGGUGUCACCGGAGCUACGAGCUCCGGUGGUGCCGGAGGGAAGCCGUUAAGCCCGCCGCCUGGGAAGUACGGCCGCAAGGCUGAAACUUAAAGGAAUUGACGG
rnacentral:rRNA from 1 species